UACAUUAAAUCUUCUCAAGCAACAGAAGUAGAAAACCAGAAGAGAAACACAUCUUGCAGAUGGUAGCAACGGCACCCCAGUAUUCCCCCUGAAUGCAUUUAUACAUUUUCAUAACCCCUUGUUCUGUCUUAAUAGUCUCAAGUUCUACAGCUCCUUUCUCAGAAAUACUUUAUAUUCACUUUCAAGCAGCAUGUAGGCACUGUGGAUUUUUUUUCAGCUUAAUAUGAAGAACCUACAUGGAAUCUCUUCUUUUCUAUUGUUGCUUUUUUUACCUCCAGAUGUUCAAUUACCUAUGAGAGUACUCAAGGAAACAUAGCUCAGCACAUGGUUGAUCUCCAAGCAGGCCUUGGUUCUUAUAAGAAGACCUUGUAGGAGGAAGGCUCCUUUUUCCCUGCAGCCCUAGUAAGCAGCCUGGAAACAUAUCAGGCAAUUGGUUUUAAAGGUCAAGAGGAAAUCCCACAUGGGCUUCCUGCUGCUCGGUGGCUUCCAGCUGGCUUUUGCUCUAAGGAAACCAAAAACGUCAGUGAUCCACUUAUUCUUGGUUACCUGCUUUCUUCAGCUAAGCCAGGAUGUGAGCCUAGGGAGACUUCACUUGUGUUUGUACAGUACGUUGUACUUACGAAGCGCUGAUCCAGAAUGCUCGAAGAAGCCAUCCGGAAGGAAGAAAGAUUAUGAGUAUCUAGGAACUAGCUGUUUGACAGAGACAGAAAUGCUGAUAAUGAGUGGGUUGUGUCUGUCGUUUUUGGCUGAUCACAACAGAGGUCUGAAGCAAAACAGAAACUCUUGAUAUGUUUGUGUAAAGAGGCAGUAGCAUAAGCACGGGCAGCAGGAGUUCAGCUGAAGUUCAGGGCAGAUGCUGCUAUUAGUUUACACUGCAGGAAAGU
rnacentral:lncRNA from 1 species